GUAGGGAAUAUUGGGCAAUGGACGCAAGUCUGACCCAGCCAUGCCGCGUGCAGGAUGAAGGCCUUCUGGGUUGUAAACUGCUUUUAUCUAGGAAGAAAAAACCCCUGCGGGGGGAACUGACGGUACUAGGUGAAUAAGCACCGGCUAACUCCGUGCCAGCAGCCGCGGUAAUACGGAGGGUGCAAGCGUUGUCCGGAUUUAUUGGGUUUAAAGGGUGCGUAGGCGGCUUUAUAAGUCCGUGGUGAAAGCCAACAGCUCAACUGUUGAACUGCCAUGGAUACUGUAAGGCUUGAGUACAGACGAGGUAGGCGGAAUGGAUGGUGUAGCGGUGAAAUGCAUAGAUACCAUCCAGAACACCGAUUGCGUAGGCAGCUUACUAGGCUGUAACUGACGCUGAGGCACGAAAGCGUGGGGAGCGAACAGGAUUAGAAACCCUUGUAGUCC
rnacentral:rRNA from 1 species